rnacentral:misc_RNA from 1 species
UUUCCGUAGGUGAACCUGCGGAAGGAUUAUUAAAAGAGUAUUUGUGCGUUAAGCGCAUAAACAUAAAUGCCGAGUAAAAAGGAUCAUUCCUUUUGCUCGUGACAUAUAUAAGCAUAUCUGAUUGUCUGAGUGUAAUUUUAAAAAAAUAACCUUUAACAAUGGAUCUCUUGGCUCUU